rnacentral:rRNA from 1 species
CCUACGGGUGGCAGCAGUGGGGAAUAUUGGACAAUGGGGGCAACCCUGAUCCAGCCAUGCCGCGUGUGUGAAGAAGGCCCUCGGGUUGUAAAGCACUUUCAGUGAGGAAGAACGCCUGGUGGUUAAUACCCAUCAGGAAAGACAUCACUCACAGAAGAAGCACCGGCUAACUCCGUGCCAGCAGCCGCGGUAAUACGGAGGGUGCGAGCGUUAAUCGGAAUUAUUGGGCGUAAAGCGCGCGUAGGUGGCUUGAUAAGCCGGUUGUGAAAGCCCCGGGCUCAACCUGGGAACGGCAUCCGGAACUGUCAAGCUAGAGUGCAGGAGAGGAAGGUAGAAUUCCCGGUGUAGCGGUGAAAUGCGUAGAGAUCGGGAGGAAUACCAGUGGCGAAGGCGGCCUUCUGGACUGACACUGACACUGAGGUGCGAAAGCGUGGGUAGCAAACAGGAUUAGAUACCCUGGUAGUC